rnacentral:rRNA from 1 species
UACGGAGGGUGCAAGCGUUAUCCGGAUUCACUGGGUUUAAAGGGUGCGUAGGUGGGUAAGUAAGUCAGUGGUGAAAUCUCCGGGCUUAACCCGGAAACUGCCAUUGAUACUAUUUGUCUUGAAUACUGUGGAGGUCAGCGGAAUAUGUCAUGUAGCGGUGAAAUGCUUAGAUAUGACAUAGAACACCAAUUGCGAAGGCAGCUGGCUACACAAAUAUUGACACUGAGGCACGAAAAGCGUGGGGGAUCAAAACAGG